CCUACGGGUGGCAGCAGUGAGGAAUAUUGGUCAAUGGGCGUACGCCUGAACCAGCCAAGUCGCGUGAGGGAAGACUGCCCUAUGGGUUGUAAACCUCUUUUGCCAGGGAGCAACGUCGGCUACGUGUACCCGCCCUGAUAGUCCCUGCAGACAAAGCAUCGGCUAACUCCGUCCCAGCAGCCGCGGUAAUACGGAGGAUGCGAGCGUUCUCCGGAUUUAUUGGGUUUAAGGGGUGCGUAGGCGGAAUGUCAAGUCAGCGGUAAAAUCGCGGGGCUCACCCGCGAUCGGCCGUUGAAACUGGCGAUCUGGAGUGGGCGAGAAGUAUGCGGAAUGCGUGGUGUAGCGGUGAAAUGCAUAGAUAUCACGCAGAACUCCGAUGGCGAAGGCAGCAUGCCGGCUCAAAACUGACGCUGAGGCGCGAAAGCGUGGGUAUCGAACAGGAUUAGAUACCCUAGUAGUC
rnacentral:rRNA from 1 species